rnacentral:rRNA from 1 species
GACGAACACUGGCGGCGUGCUUAACACAUGCAAGUCGAACGGUAAGGCCCUUCGGGGUACACGAGUGGCGAACGGGUGAGUAACACGUGGGUGAUCUGCCCUGCACUUCGGGAUAAGCCUGGGAAACUGGGUCUAAUACCGGAUAGGACUCCUGGCUUCAUGGUUGGGGGUGGAAAGCUUUUGCGGUGUGGGAUGGGCCCGCGGCCUAUCAGCUUGUUGGUGGGGUAAUGGCCUACCAAGGCGACGACGGGUAGCCGGCCUGAGAGGGAGACCGGUCACACUGGGACUGGGAUACGGCCCAGACUCCUACGGGAGGCAGCAGUGGGGAAUAUUGCACAAUGGGCGCAAGCCUGAUGCAGCGACGCCGCGUGAGGGAUGACGGCCUUCGGGUUGUAAACCUCUUUCAGCUAUGACGAAGCGCAAGUGACGGUAGUAGCAGAAGAAGGACCGGCCAACUACGUGCCAGCCGCCGCAGUAA